UAGGUGACCUGCGGAGGAUCAUUAAUGAAUUAUAAUGCUGAGGUUGUAGCUGGCCUUUCAAUCGAGAGGUAUGUGCACGCCUUGGUUAUUCCAAAUUCUUAUACCUCUGUGCACAUUACAUAGAAGAUUUAUUAGUUGGGUGAAAAGGAGGUUUGACCUCCCGGCAAUUCGACUCAAUAAUCUUCUGUGGUUCAUACAUUUAUACCAGUCAGUUCAGAAUGUAAUACCGCGUUUAACGCAAACUAUAUACAACUUUCAGCAACGGAUCUCUUGGCUCUCGCAUCGAUGAAGAACGCAGCGAAAUGCGAUAAGUAAUGUGAAUUGCAGAAUUCAGUGAAUCAUCGAAUCUUUGAACGCACCUUGCACUCCUUGGUAUUCCGAGGAGUAUGCCUGUUUGAGUGUCAUGGUAUUCUCAAUUCUAAUAACUUUUGUUAUCGGAAUUGGACUUGGAGGUUUUUUGCCGGUGCUUCGGCGGCUGGCUCCUCUUAAAUGCAUUAGUGUGAAUCAAGUUACACAUCAUUCAGUGUGAUAAUUAUCUGCGCUGUCUCAUGUUAACUUUAUAAGUGUUCAUGCUUAUAACCCGUCUGUUGACUCAGACACUUACUUUGAAAUCUGACCUCAAAUCAGGUAGGACUACCCGCUGAACUUAAGCAUAU
rnacentral:rRNA from 1 species